rnacentral:lncRNA from 1 species
AGAUAAUGUGUUUUUUAAAAAUUGAAUAUUUGUGGCACCCCUGCGUGGAGAAAGUCUUUUGGCACCAUUUUUACAACAGCAUUAUUUUUAAAUUGAAUGUACCUCAGCUCUGAUACAGAUGCACUGUGUGCUCAGUGUUCACCUGGGCGUACCCUCAUAUCAACUCCAUAGGACAUAUGGGGAACCAGCGCUAAAUUCAGGAUGCCUGCUGUGCUAGUGAGUAAUAAAUUAUCUAAAUGUGCAUUGUUUGCUUGUCAAUCCAAUGUAUGGAAGUGUGACAAGUAAAACGUUGUUGCAUAGUGGGUGCCAGAGCACUGGACACACUGGUAGGACAUUGCAGGGCAUAUAUCAUCAAGGAAGAAUGUAUGAAAAAGCUUUUCGGUUGUAUUCAUAGGCUAGAGAAAGCUGUAUCCUCUACCAGGGAGAAAAGAGGUCAGCAAACAAGUUGGGUUUACUUUACUUGUUCUAAGUUGCCUGAAAUUAAUUGUUCCACCUAUUGUUAAUGGACAUAUGGUCACAACUUGUCAAUUAAAAAUGCAGAGUGUUGAUAUUAAUGCCAAUAAUUUUUGUUAAGUUCUUUUUAUUUUGUCAUAGGAAAGAAAAUAACUGGACCAGUAUAGUUAAGAAGGCUUAUUUAAAACAAUAAUAUGGAUGAUAUUGCAAACAAAUGUCCAACAAUGAAAUGUUUACCUCCUUGUUUAACUUGGUGGUGAUCACAAAUAAGCAAGAAUUCAAGUUUCAAACACAUUUUAAAAAAUGGAUGGCUAAAAUAUUUAGCCAACUAAGCCAUUUAGAUAAGAAAUAAAGGCUUAUGUUUUAAAUGUUACACUAAUUUCAGACAUUUUACCUCAGUGCUUUUGUAGAGUGAAACAUUUAUGUGCCAUGUAGGCUUCAUGAUAAGAUUCUCUAUGGGAAUGUGUUACAGUAUGUGUUUGCUUUUAUAAUAGCACAGCACAUAUCAGUGAGGUUGCUCCAUAAGGCACAUCUACUGUUUUUAAGUUUUUGCAAAUUAUUUUAAGAUGCCAAAAGCAUGUUUGGAUACAUUUGAUCACAAAAUGUACUACUUGUACACAAAUGGUAGCUGAAAUUGAAUGGACUUAAAUUUAAUUUCUCUUUUGGUCUUUAUAGAAUCCUUAUCUAUUUUUCUUCAUAUGAAUAUGAACUAUUUCUUAAUCACAUCACAAAAAAUAAUGUUUAUGAUAGAUAAUUUAGAAAAUAUAUUUUUUAUAAGUUUUAUUGAGGUAUAGUUGAUUUACAAGAUUGUGAUAAUCUCUGCUGUAUGACAAAGUAAUUCAGUUACACAUGUACACACAUCCAUUCUCUUUCAGAUUCUUUUUUUUUUUAAAAACCUAAAAAAAACAAAAUCCAACAACAAAAUAACUCAUUCCUGUAAUCCCAACACCAAAAUUAAUCACUAUUAACAUUUACAACAUAUCUUUCCAGUUAUUAUAUAGAUCAUUUUUAUAAAAUAAUAUAUGAAUUAUUUUAAAUUUCAUAAUCUUUUCUAAAGUUAGCAAUCUAUUUCUAUCAUUUCUAAUCCAUUGUUUUCAAAAUUAAUCUAAUAGUUAUUUAAGUAUUAUGUAAUGUAUAACUAUGAAAUUUUGUAUACACAGCAUAAUGAUGAAUUAGUCAAAAGGGUAUAAUCAUGAUCCAGGUAAAGAGCAUCCUGAAUCUAUUUGGUUAUUUCUCUCCUUAUUACUGAAAGAUCUAAUAUGUUUUCCUUUCAAUGGCAGAAAUUUCUAGUCAUCUUUCAAAAUCUGUUCUGGCUUUCUUCCUGAAGCUGUAGCUUGAGCGAUAUAGCACCGUGGAAUUUCAUGUCAUCUCGUAGCACAUUUCGCUCCUCCUUAUUUGUUCCUCUUCUCAAUCUGGAAAGCUGACAUUGUGGAAGCCUAGCAUUAAAUACAGAGAUGAACCAAAUUGCCCUAGAUAGACCAGCCUUUUACAAAGAAUCCUAGUUUCCUGAAUGACCCAGUGAAACAAAACUACAUCCACAAACCUUAACUUCAGAAGUAUUGUGAAAGAGAAAGUACACUUCUUUGCUUUUUAUGCUAUAUUAUUAUGGAUUUUUAAAUACAGCACCCUUAUCCUAACCAAUACACUCCCUAUGUACAUUACUGUAAAUUUCUCAGGGUAAUAUUUUAAAUUUAUGCUUAGCUAUCUGCCUGUCAAUCAAGAUACUUCACAUAACUUUGGCAUACAACAGAAACAUGGAAAUUUACAAGAAAAAUAUCUUAUUUUUACAAAAGCAAAACUUAUCUAAAGUUUUCAGAAGAUUUUUCCAGUAUUACACAGGAUUAGGCUUAGCCAUCAUGGAUACCUAGUAAACUCCUGACCUAAUAGGCAUUCACUUUUUUAUUUUCUGUUUUCUGGCUGCAGCCAGGGCAUGUGCAAGUUCCCAGACCAGGGAUUGAACCCAUAUCCAGGGCAGUUACCCAAGCCACUACAGUGACAACGUCAGAUCCUUAACCCACUGAGCCACGAGAGAACUCCAGAAAUUCACUUGUAAAUUCUGUGAUCUAUAACUCAUAGUGGUCUCUGAAACUAUAUUCUUCCCCCAUUGUAACCUCUUUUUAAGGAAGUAACUACUUUAAAUUUAGACUUUUUUAAAGCAACAUUAGACAGUCCCAAUAGCCAAUUGAAUUCUGCUAGACUGAUUUAUAAUUAUUCAUUUAUUCAACAUUAUUACAGGCCUGCAAUAAAAUAGGUACCGUACUGAAAUAUUGAUGAGAAAUGCGGACCAUUUUAGACAGGCAGUUAUAUAGUGUGAUCAGAUAAUGGUUCAUAUGUAAUAGACAACAAAAGAAAAAAGGUAUUAUGAGUUUCAUAAUUAUAGAUCCUAUUCCAGUCUUAAGUCUGUAGGAAACUUCAUACAGAGAGUAAUGUCAUCACUGAGUCCUAAAAAAUAAGAUAUCCAUGUGAAGGAGGAAGGAGGAUAGGAAAGGCUGUAACCAGUAAUCCAGUGGAAAUACGAUUCCUGGUGUACUCACCUCUUUCAGGUUUAUUAUUAUUAUUAUUAUUAUUAUUAUUUUACCCUUCCAUAUGUCCUUCUAAUGCAGUUAUAAGCAGUAAGACGGUACUUAUCAGAAUGGGAAAGUAUAUUCUAAAUAAACUGAGAAAAAGCCUUCUUUUUAUAUUCAAUUUACAUCUCUUUUGCCAUAGUAUUACCAUUGUCUACACAAGUAAAAUAUAUGUUUAAAUGUAUGGGCUUUUCAUGAGUGAAGGAGCAUGGUUUUGAAAGUGCUUUUGGUGGUUCCUUAAAGAUGGAUGAGACAUUCAAUCAUUUGUCUAAAUGUGUGUGUUUAAAGGCUAGAAAAAGUAAAUGAGCCUUUAGUGUGGUCAUGUAAUCACAUAUUUUUGCAGUUGACUUAAAUAAGGACAGUUCCUGAUUUAUAGCACAGGAGCAAAUUAUUUCAGAUACUGCUGGCUUUUCCCUCUUUUUUAUUUUUAAAAAACUCUUAAAAAUAGUGUUCAGGUCUUGCAUUUUAUCAAAUGUCUAAAUGGUGAUUAAACUGACCUUUGUUUUAGGUUUUGUGGUGACAUAACACAGUUGCUUAUUUCUUAUGCUUUCAAAUAUUACCAUUAACCUUUAAAGUCACUUUAUAUGAGUAAAUAAUGAUUAAGUAAAGUCUGUUUCAAAAUGUGUACAUGUAUAAAAUAUAUAAAGUGAUGACAUACAACAUACAUAGUGUGUCAAUAUAAGGAAAACUUUCUUUCAAGAAGCUAUAAAUAUGAUAUUGAAAGUUCAUUAAGGAGAUACUAAUUGGAAUACUAGAUUCUUAAUACAUUUUAAUGUGAAAUAAAAUGUUUAAUUAAUAGUUACUAUGUAUAAACUGUGGAAAACCUCUACAUAUCUUCUUCCUAUUAUUACAUAAAAUUAUAAUUAUUAAUACCAUCCAGGAAAAAUACUCUGAACAGAGAAGAAGAAAAUUGAUUUUUAUAAUAGAAUUAGUAUUGGAGGAAAGGCCUAUGUUGCUUAAUAUAAAAGGAGAGAUAAGAACAAGUGAUUAUAUUUAGGUAAUUUGGUUUUAAAGUUAAAAUUUGAAAAAUAUAAAUAUUUUUAAAUGAUUUCUACCUUAAAAUAUAAAGUUAUAGCUAAUAUGAUGAUACUGAUUCAGUUCUAUGAGCAGAACAUUUUGUUUUAUGAAAAAUUACGAAUUACAAAAUAAAAAUAUUGAAAAGGCUUAAAAAAUAAAGGCUUCAUUUUACAAAAACAACGACAACACCAAGUAAAAAAAGAUCAUGAUGUUUCCAUUUAUAUUAAAAUUUUAAAGGACUGUGUCAUAUUUUCCAUUGGAUUGAACUUUUCUCUCAGUUUAGUGCCACAAUUUGAUCAAUGCAGUGCUAUUAAGAAAUUUGACAGAUUCACUAUUUAUUUAAAAAUUAGCAAAACAAUAGUAAACUACCUUAUAUUUGUCUUCUGCGUAAUGGAAAAACAUGGGCAGAAGUUUUAAAUAGACACUUCUCCAAAGAAGAUACACAGAUGGCCAAAAACCACAUGAAAAAUGCUCAACAUCGCUAAUUCUUAGAGAACUGCAAAUCCAAACUACAAUGAGGUGUCACCUCACACUAGUCAGAAUGACUAUCAUCAAAUAAACUAUAAUCAGUAAAUGCAGAAGAAAGUGUGGAGAAAAGGGAAUCUUCCUAAACUGUUGAUGGCAAUGUAAAUUGGCACAAAUGCUAUGAAAAACAGUAUGGAGGUUUCCCAAAAAAAAAAAAAAAAAAAAAAA